rnacentral:rRNA from 1 species
GAUAAACGCUAGCGAUGGGCCUAACACAUGCAAGUCGAGGGGCAGCAUAGAGUAGCAAUACUUUGAUGGCGACCGGCGCACGGGUGAGUAACACGUAUGCAACCUACCUACAUCAGGGGAAUAACCCGGAGAAAUUCGGACUAAUACCGCAUAAUACAGGGAUGCCGCAUGGCAAUAUUUGUUAAAGAUUUAUCGGAUGUAGAUGGGCAUGCGUUCCAUUAGCUAGUUGGUAAGGUAACGGCUUACCAAGGCAACGAUGGAUAGGGGAACUGAGAGGUUUGUCCCCCACACUGGAACUGAGACACGGACCAGACUCCUACGGGAGGCAGCAGUGAGGAAUAUUGGUCAAUGGACGAGAGUCUGAACCAGCCAAAUCGCGUGAAGGAAGACUGCCCUACGGGUUGUAAACUUCUUUUGUACAGGAAUAAAAGACAUUACGUGUAAUGUAUUGCAUGUACUGUACGAAUAAGCAUCGGCUAACUCCGUGCCAGCCGCCGCCGUAA